GGAGGAUCAUUAUCGUAGGGCUUCGGCCCUGUCGAGAUAGAACCCUUGCCUUUUUGAGUACCUUUCGUUUCCUCGGCAGGCUCGCCUGCCAAUGGGGACCACAAAAAACACUUUGCAGUACCUGUAACAGUCUGAACAAACAAAACAAAAAUUAAAACUUUCAACAACGGAUCUCUUGGUUCUGGCAUCGAUGAAGAACGCAGCGAAAUGCGAUAAGUAGUGUGAAUUGCAGAAUUCAGUGAAUCAUCGAAUCUUUGAACGCACAUUGCGCCCUUUGGUAUUCCUUAGGGCAUGCCUGUUCGAGCGUCAUUUAAACCUUCAGGCUAAGCUUGGUGUUGGGUGACUGUCCGCUUCACUUCGGACUCGCCUCAAAAUUAUUGGCGGCCGGUACAUUGGCUUCGAGCGCAGCAGAAACGCGAACUCGGGCCCGUCGUAUUGGCUCCCAGAAGCUAUCUUCACAAUUUUGACCUCGGAUCAGGUAGGGAUACCCGCUGAACUUAAGCAUAUCAAUAAGCGGAGGA
rnacentral:rRNA from 1 species